GAUGAACGCUAGCUACAGGCUUAACACAUGCAAGUCGAGGGGAAACGACAUCGAAAGCUUGCCUUUGAUGGGCGUCGACCGGCGCACGGGUGAGUAACGCGUAUCCAACCUGCCCAUCACUUGGGAAUAACCUUGCGAAAGUAAGACUAAUACCCAAUGACAUCCCACGAAGACAUCUGAAUGGGAUUAAAGAUUUAUCGGUGAUGGAUGGGGAUGCGUCUGAUUAGCUUGUUGGCGGGGUAACGGCCCACCAAGGCAACGAUCAGUAGGGGUUCUGAGAGGAAGGUCCCCCACAUGGGAACUGAGACACGGUCCAAACUCCUACGGGAGGCAGCAGUGAGGAAUAUUGGUCAAUGGGCGAGAGCCUGAACCAGCCAAGUAGCGUGCAGGAGGACGGCCCUAUGGGUUGUAAACUGCUUUUAUAAGGGAAUAAAGUGGGUCUCGUGAGACUUUUUGCAUGUACCUUAUGAAUAAGGACCGGCUAAUUCCGUG
rnacentral:rRNA from 1 species